AAGUCGUAACAAGGUAACCGUAGGUGAACCUGCGGUUGGAUCAUUAAAAAUUCAACUGUUUAUUAUUUAGAGCCACUUUUAUUAGUCGGAUCUAUCUAAUAGACAUCAACCCACUGUGCACUUGUAUGUUUUUUGGGAUUAUUUCAGUAUAAUCCCAGCAGUAUAACAAACCCAUUUUUUAAUUGACUGAAUUUUUAUUAUUAUAAAUAUUAAAACAACUUUAGACAACGGAUCUCUUGGCUCUC
rnacentral:misc_RNA from 1 species